rnacentral:rRNA from 1 species
AGAACGAACGCUGGCGGCGUGCUUAACACAUGCAAGUCGAACGCGAAAGGGACUUCGGUCCUGAGUAAAGUGGCGCACGGGUGAGUAACGCGUAGAUAACCUGUCUUCAUGUCUGGAAUAAUACGCCGAAAGGGGUACUAAUACCGGAUAUUCUUGCUUUUCAUAAGUUAUGCAAGCAAAGGUGGCCUCUGCAUAUGCUACUGCAUGAAGAGGGGUCUGCGUACCAUUAGCUAGUAGGUGGGGUAAUGGCCUACCUAGGCGACGAUGGUUAGCGGGUCUGAGAGGAUGAUCCGCCACACUGGCACUGGAACACGGGCCAGACUCCUACGGGAGGCAGCAGUGAGGAAUAUUGCGCAAUGGGGGAAACCCUGACGCGGCGACGCCGCGUGAAGUGAGGAAGGCCUUCGGGUCGUAAAGCUCUGUCAAGAGGAAAGAAGUGUACAAUGGCUAAUACCUGUUGUAUUUGACGGUACCUCUAAAGGAAGCACCGGCUAACUCCGUGCCAGCAGCCGC